UACUAUUCAAUCAACUAAAAUCAAAACUGAAAUUCAAGUUUGUUUCGACAAAUAAUAAAUAAAAAAUAUAUAUAUUAUAUUCUGGCAUAAUAAUUAAACAAGAACGAGAAAAAAAGAGAAUAAGAAAGAGAGAGAAAGAGACGUAUGAGUUACGUAAACCAAUCGCGUUAAACCAACAAGGAUAAAAUUGACUUUGGGAGACGAGCUAAAGUCCCGUAAUUUAAACGUUUAAUCGCAAAUUAGGAUGAGAAACCUGCUGUCUUUUCUUGCAAGAGGAGCGUUCGAGAUACUUUUCCAUCGUGUUGGAUCAAACGACCAAUAAGAGCGUUAUUAUCACAUUUUCUUUGUAUUCAAAGACGGUAUAAAAAUUCCAAACAAAUAUUCUUUCUCGGAAUUUUCUCGCACUCUUCCAGAGAGAAGAGCGAGAACGGAUGCCCCAGUUGCCCAGUUUGAAAGUAAUAUCAUACUUCGAAAGAGAUACGAAGGGUCAAAAAUGUCUCUUCAUAUCUUAGCUUCCGCGUAAUCCAUUUCCGCCUUUCAAAACUUAAAACGAAGUUCAAAGCACAAAGACUCUGUGACGUUCCCGUCAACCAAAAUAAUUUGAGAGCGGAACUCGGCGCGCUUAAAUUUGGAUGACUUCCAACGAUAUUAUCGAAACUGACAGCAAUGUUGAGUUAAAUUUAUUCUCCGCGUGAGGGAUCGGUAACAUGGUCAUCUCGAAGGGGAAGUCGCUAAUGAGAGUAUCGUAAAUACCUUCGUUACAAGCGAAAAUAGUUAAUCUAAACUUGGAAACAUUAUUAUUUAUAGCCUGUCGUCUAAACGUCACUAUCACUUUCUUUCAAUUGCACAUCUUUCGCACCGUAAAUAUCGCACGUACAAUUCUCGUAACUUAUUCGCGUUUCAAAGUAAGAGGGAAUAAUAAUUAAUAAAAAUACGUAAACUGAUAAACUCGGUACUCACAACGAGCCAUAUAUAUACUCGCGCGGAUAUUCGUGAGUUCACGUAGCUCCGUCGCUCUGCCAUCCACCGCCCGCUGAUAAAUGUAUUUUAAAUGGGCGUUCGGGUUCCAUUAACGUUAAACGCGAGCUACGCUGCACGCCAAAGUCAAGCGGACUAGAGAUACUUUCGAGAAAUCUUACGAUAGCGGCGCAAAUCCGGCAUAAUUCGCUGCUUGGGCGUUAAUGGCGUUAGACCUGUCGGGACGGCAAUCUGAUGCUACACAGAAUCCAGUUGCGAUAUAACAUACAUUAAUGUCGUAUCUCGGGAAAGAGGAAGAGAGAGACGGGGCGCGAAAAGUCUCCCCAGUUCUCAUUUGGAUAUAUACUUCGGCAAGAGGUCGUCGUUCUUGGCUCUGGACCAAUCGUCACGUCGUUGCUACCCGAAUCGCGAUAAGGUUUCUUGACGAUGAAACGUGGCCUGGAGUUAUUCUGGACCAUCAUUCCUUACUUCCGCGUGAUGCCGGUUAGACGGAUUACACCUGUCAGCCCGCAAUCGUCUUUCAUUGAACUUCAAAUACAAGGAUGUGAAGAGGCACUUAUAAUUGUGUACUUUCGAAACUAUUGUUACACUGCAUUUGCAAAGAUAAAAAUCAGAAAUUGAAAAAGUUCUUUGAUAAAAUGUUUCAA